CGGCGGACGGGUGAGUAACGCGUGGGUAACCCGCCUCAUACAGGGGGGAUAACAGUUGGAAACGGCUGCUAAUACCGCAUAAGCGCACAGUACCGCAUGGUACCGUGUGAAAAACUCCGGUGGUAUGAGAUGGACCCGCGUCUGAUUAGCUAGUUGGUGGGGUAACGGCCUACCAAGGCGACGAUCAGUAGCCGACCUGAGAGGGUGACCGGCCACAUUGGGACUGAGACACGGCCCAGACUCCUACGGGAGGCAGCAUG
rnacentral:rRNA from 1 species